rnacentral:lncRNA from 1 species
CUGAAAUUGUGAACCAUGAGUCUAGUACUUAAUGAUCUGCUUAUCUGCUGCCGUCAACUAGAACAUGAUAGAGCUACAGAACGAAAGAAAGAAGUUGAGAAAUUUAAGCGCCUGAUUCGAGAUCCUGAAACAAUUAAACAUCUAGAUCGGCAUUCAGAUUCCAAACAAGGAAAAUAUUUGAAUUGGGAUGCUGUUUUUAGAUUUUUACAGAAAUAUAUUCAGAAAGAAACAGAAUGUCUGAGAAUAGCAAAACCAAAUGUAUCAGCCUCAACACAAGCCUCCAGGCAGAAAAAGAUGCAGGAAAUCAGUAGUUUGGUCAAAUACUUCAUCAAAUGUGCAAACAGAAGAGCACCUAGGCUAAAAUGUCAAGAACUCUUAAAUUAUAUCAUGGAUACAGUGAAAGAUUCAUCUAAUGGUGCUAUUUACGGAGCUGAUUGUAGCAACAUACUACUCAAAGACAUUCUUUCUGUGAGAAAAUACUGGUGUGAAAUAUCUCAGCAACAGUGGUUAGGUAUAAUUGUUCUCUGUGUACUUCAGGCUCUAUCUGAAACCUUCACAAGAUGUUCAUAGAGUUUUAGUGGCUAGAAUAAUUCAUGCUGUUACCAAAGGAUGCUGUUCUCAGACUGACGGAUUAAAUUCCAAAUUUUUGGACUUUUUUUCCAAGGCUAUUCAGUGUGCGAGACAAGAAAAGAGCUCUUCAGGUCUAAAUCAUAUCUUAGCAGCUCUUACUAUCUUCCUCAAGACUUUGGCUGUCAACUUUCGAAUUCGAGUGUGUGAAUUAGGAGAUGAAAUUCUUCCCACUUUGCUUUAUAUUUGGACUCAACAUAGGCUUAAUGAUUCUUUAAAAGAAGUCAUUAUUGAAUUAUUUCAACUGCAAAUUUAUAUCCAUCAUCCGAAAGGAGCCAAAACCCAAGAAAAAGGUGCUUAUGAAUCAACAAAAUGGAGAAGUAUUUUAUACAACUUAUAUGAUCUGCUAGUGAAUGAGAUAAGUCAUAUAGGAAGUAGAGGAAAGUAUUCUUCAGGAUUUCGUAAUAUUGCCGUCAAAGAAAAUUUGAUUGAAUUGAUGGCAGAUAUCUGUCACCAGGUUUUUAAUGAAGAUACCAGAUCCUUGGAGAUUUCUCAAUCUUACACUACUACACAAAGAGAAUCUAGUGAUUACAGUGUCCCUUGCAAAAGGAAGAAAAUAGAACUAGGCUGGGAAGUAAUAAAAGAUCACCUUCAGAAGUCACAGAAUGAUUUUGAUCUUGUGCCUUGGCUACAGAUUGCAACCCAAUUAAUAUCAAAGUAUCCUGCAAGUUUACCUAACUGUGAGCUGUCUCCAUUACUGAUGAUACUAUCUCAGCUUCUACCCCAACAGCGACAUGGGGAACGUACACCAUAUGUGUUACGAUGCCUUACGGAAGUUGCAUUGUGUCAAGACAAGAGGUCAAACCUAGAAAGCUCACAAAAGUCAGAUUUAUUAAAACUCUGGAAUAAAAUUUGGUGUAUUACCUUUCGUGGUAUAAGUUCUGAGCAAAUACAAGCUGAAAACUUUGGCUUACUUGGAGCCAUAAUUCAGGGUAGUUUAGUUGAGGUUGACAGAGAAUUCUGGAAGUUAUUUACUGGGUCAGCCUGCAGACCUUCAUGUCCUGCAGUAUGCUGUUUGACUUUGGCACUGACCACCAGUAUAGUUCCAGGAACGGUAAAAAUGGGAAUAGAGCAAAAUAUGUGUGAAGUAAAUAGAAGCUUUUCUUUAAAGGAAUCAAUAAUGAAAUGGCUCUUAUUCUAUCAGUUAGAGGGUGACUUAGAAAAUAGCACAGAAGUGCCUCCAAUUCUUCACAGUAAUUUUCCUCAUCUUGUACUGGAGAAAAUUCUUGUGAGUCUCACUAUGAAAAACUGUAAAGCUGCAAUGAAUUUUUUCCAAAGCGUGCCAGAAUGUGAACACCACC